UUGUUUUACCUAUUUAAAUGCCUUUCUAUUAACCACGAAUUUUCAGUUUUUCUCUUUUGAUUCUCUCACACUGAAGAGGAAAUAACCCAGCAGCUGGGUAGGCUUAGUUGCUGGUUGCAAUCAGUUCACAUGUAAUGAAAAUGCCUUCUAAUCCUGCACCACUACAAACUUGUGCUGUAAGCAUUCAGACAGCUGCUACAUUGAACAUACUGAGAAGUUCAGCCAUUUUCAGGUAUUGAUUCACACUAUAGUAGACAUCGUACACUACAGAAACAACAGAACAAACAUUGUCAGCAGAUCAGCUGAAGCUUGUCAUGGUUCCUGUUGCUUCUUAUAAUGCUGUUUCAUACAACAAGGCUUUAUGAGAAAUCUGCAGGUCCUGAGUGUGUCCUGUGGUACUGUGUACCUUUGCUACUCUGAGCAGUUCUGGCUGAGAAUUUCUGGAUGUAUCAUGAUGGAAUGCAAGCUGUGGAAGAUAAAUCGUUCCUCAGCUUCAAACUCCACUGCUUCCUCACUGCAACUAUAAGCUUAGAAGAGAAAUACUGGAUUUCCAGAUGUCUGGCUUCUAUUGCGUAUUUUUCUUUAUUGGAAAAUUUUAAUUAAGAGUUAUGAAAAAAUAUUCUGAAAAUGGCAAAUGCAUUCAGUGAGAAGAAAGCUAUUUGCUUUAAAUGUGGUAUAAAUAUCAACUUCUGUCAGUUACAAUGGUUACUUAAAUUAAGCUUAAUAUGUAUCUUUCAUUAAAUGCUUGAGAGAGAAUGUAUAAACCAGAGUAAAUGCACAAGAGAUUAAAUACUGAGGUUUCUUCUCAAUUUGAAAGCUCUUACCUCCAUUAAAAUGUUCGUGUUUUGCUCAUUACUCUAUUGCUGAAUGAAGUUUAAAAUGUACUGAGACACAGAUGCAACAGACAUCAUAUUUGAUUCAUUGCUUGAUAAGGCCAUAUUCAGUCAGAUAAUAUGCCUCUUCAUAGCUCUUCCAAUUUAAGUGUAAUACAUUCUGAUUGUCAUACCAUUGACAGACUAACCAGACCAGGAUGGGAGGAUUUCAUGGAACUGUUUCUGGCAUUCCAUUCCCUCCUCUCACUGGAGGAAUCUCAGUGCUAUUCCUACUAGAAAUCAGAUGGGAUUAGUGUCAGUAUGGCUGGUUUGAAGGUCAAAGGUAAAAAUCUGGAAUACACAUCUGAGAACUUAAGGGACCCUGGAGCACACAUAGAUUUUCAUCAGUGCUCCUGCUCAAAAGGAAAGGUUUGAAAGGGCCAGUUGAAGGCAGUGAAUCAAGAAGUGGUUACAAGACUGGUGCCACAGCCAAAGUUUCACUACCUAGACUAUGGGGCUCAUUUUUGAGAAACCUCUACUGGGAGAAGAUGGCGUCUGUCUGUCCCAAAUAUGAAAGGCAUCUCUAGUCAUGGGCUUUCCAAGCUGGUGAAGAGAGCUUUAGAUGAAAGGUGUUGGGGAAGGGGAACCUCAGUCUUACCUACCUCUCGAAGUUAAUCUUAUUCUUACCAGCUGGGUGCCAAUGCCAGUGAGAGAUGUCCAUAGCCUGGAGAUGGAUCCCAGAUCAGCAGAAGAGUACCUGAAGAGCAGUGCAAAACAAUUGCAUCCACUCAGUUCAGUAAUUCAGUUUCAUUAGGGGCCCAAAUUAAAUGUCUUGAUGCAAAUGCACCCAACAUGGGAAAAAAACAAGAGGAAUUAGACAUGUACACACACCUGCAGGGCUACAAUCUUAUGGAUAUCUUGAAGACCUGGUGGUAUGGCCCCUAUGAUUGCAGUUUUGCCAUGGAAGAAUACAGGAUCUUUGGCAAGGACAGGCAGGGAAAAUGAGGAGGCAGUGUUGCCUUCUGUGCCAAUGAUCAGCUGGAGUGUGUGGAACUUCGCCUGUAGAGGCAUCAAGGGCUUAUGGGUCAGGGUUAAAGGGGGGCAGGGACAGGUGGUGCUAGAGUGAAGGUCUGCUACACCCCACCAGACCAGGAAGACCAUGAGAAUUUCUACAGACAGAUAGGAGCAGCCACAUUCAAAAACCCUGGUCCUUUUGGGGAACUUCAACCACUCUGAUAUCAUCUGGUCUAAUUGAAGGUGUCCUUACCCACAUCUCAGGGGUUGGAAAUAAGUCAUCUUCAAGGUCUCUUCCAGCCCAAACCAUUCUAAGAAUGUUUCUUAGACUGUUUCUUAGUGUUUCUGUGAUAUUUUUUUGGCAAAGAAUUGGUCCUCAAAACAGAAUUUUACCCAGAUUCCAGAAUUUAGAAAUAAUUCCUAAUGCUAAGGUAGUAAUUAUUGUUCAUGGAGCUACUUGCUCCUUCCCCAGCUUCUUUGUCUCUAAAUGGCUGACACUUGUCUAACAAAUUUAGUUUGCAAUAAAUAUAGAGGAUAAGAGAAAGUACAUAACCUUUUGUUCUCUACGGAUAUGAAAAGCAGAAGGUAUUCGUGAGCUAACCAAUCUGUAACCAGAAACGUGUGAAACUUUCCUGUUAUUCUUGCAAAUGUGUUUAUUGUUUAAAUAGAAGUAAUUAUUUUUCUUCUGCUGGAAGUUUCAAGUUGAGCCAAAUGUCUUUAGCAUUCUGCUAGCAGAUAUUUUAGAAUAGCGCACAUAUGUUCAAUUGUUUUUAUAGAAGAGAUGGCAGGUAGUAACAGUCACUCUCUUAAACAUGUAGAUUCAGCUUCUGGAGAACAUAAACCUAUGCACCAGUAUGUUAAUUAAAUAAGCAAAUAUUCAAUGAAAGCUGGUUUUAAAAAUGCAACACUUUUAUUGCUCUGUAUCAUGCUAUGGUGUUGAAAUGGGGUUUUUUCCCCAUUGUUUAAUGGUUAACAUUCUUUUGUCUCUAGAACUGUCAAAAGUGUAAAUUUUGUGAUCAAAAUGGUUUUUCACACUCUUCUGAGUUUUGUGGAAACCACACUUGAAUACAAAAGAACAGAAUGUUUCAGCAGGUUAUACAAAAUAUUCUAUUAAUAUAAUUUGACUCACUGCAGGGCUAAUCAAUUGAUUAAAACCACUUUAUUUUUGAGAUAAUAAGUUAGAUUAGGGACUUAAAAGCUUUACAUAGCUCUGAGAAAGACCUGUCAAUGCUUACUUUACAGAACUGGAGAAGUUCUUCAGCUCUUCUUUGACUUCAAGCUGAAGAACUAAGUAUACAUAAUUUAAUUCUCACACCUGCUUUAAAACAAAUGUAUCAAGUAGCAUAAAAAAAAAAUACAAUUUCUGUUGAAAUAUCAGCCAUCCCAGAAAAAGAUCAUAUUCCUACAUCUUCAGAGUUCAUUCUUUUUCAGGAUGAACUGAAUCAUUUGUCCAGCUCAGACUUACUUUUGGACAGCAAAAGAACAAAGCAUGUUCUUUCAUACUUUGGGCAUGAGGUAUUUUGUGAAGUAAGGCUAAAACCUAUCCUGCUAAGUUUGAGCAACCUCAGAAGUAGCUGUGCAGACUAUCCAUUGGAAAAGAGAGGAUAGGUCUGGUCUGAAAUUUUAGAGCAGACUCCCAAUCAUAGAUAAAUAAUUGAAACACUUGUAAUCUUGACAGGAGGAAAGCAACAAGUCUUUGGAGAGACAGGUAACUUUAAAGGUCAGUCUUAGAGAUCAUCAGAUGAGCACUAGUUUUACUGAAUUCACUGGGUUUAGGAUUUGAUCUUAAUUUAGAUGCCUAAUUCUCCCAGACAGUGUAUAAAGGGAGUGUAUAAAGUGAAUAUUAUAUAAAGUGAAAUGGUAACUGAGUAUUUCUGACUCUUUUUGUUAGCUCUUAUUAUUAUUAUACAACAAUAUUAUUAUUAUUUUUAUUAUUAUUAUUCACUCUUUUUGCGUGUAUCAUAGAAACUUUGUUUAAAUCCACUGGAUCUUUAAAUUUUUGUAAACUAAACUAAGAUUUUAUUGUUUAGGUAAGCUUUGUUUUCCCUCAGUUUUAUAAGAUUUAGCUUUUGAGGUCUUUUGCCUUUUGAAGACUUUUGUCUAUUUGGCUGAUUUAAAUGAUAAAAUCUUUUUGUGGUAAAAACUUGAGUUUAUUUCCAAAUUGUGGUUAUAAAAGAAAAAUGUUCUCUUAAUGUUCUUGAAUUCUCUAGUUUAUAUCCACUGAUUGCCUUGAAUAAAAAGCUGCUUCCAAUAGUAUUGUUUAUUUGUCCUCUUCAGUUCAUCAAAGGAGGAUAUUGACCAAUUUUUUUGUCUUUGAGACAUGCAUAAGAAGUGUUAAAAAAAAGAGCUCUGAUAGAAUUUUUAUUUAAUUCUUCUGGUAUGAAUUAAAAUAAUUAUAUAUUUCCAUGUUUAUUUCUCUGUACACACCAUCAUUAAUGUCAUUCCAGAAUUGUUUCUUCAUUGUGUAGACAUUGUCUGAGUUAAAAUUAGCUUUUCUGUUUAUCUUCUGUCUUCAGAAAGCCCUUUGUACCAAGAACUACCCUUCUUCAGGACAUGCUUUUCUGCAGUUCAAUAGCAAUAAAUUUCACAAUCAGGACUAUCUUAGCCCACUGUGUAAAUUUGACUUUUCAGACUAUUUUCACUUCUCCAAAGUUGGUAAAAGUCAUUAUUUCUUGUCCAAAUGUCUUCUAAUAGUUAUUAGACUAUGUAAAUUUAAGGUGUCUCAAGACAGACAUCCUCAAAGACAUAAAGGUUACUAUCUGCAAUGAAAGUUUCACAGUAAACAUAAGUCUUUUUUAAAGUUUGCAGAAAUUGCAGCCCUGACUCUCUAGGGACAUUUCUGGCAAGGAAAUGAUAAUUUGGAGUUUUUACUUGUUUUGGUUUGUUUUCUGUGAUUUUUCCUCCCCUCUUAAUCUUGGUUCUAUAAAACACUACUUAAAGCAGUAAUAUCUGUUCAGCUUUCUCCAAAUAAAAGACCAAUUUAACUAGUUUUAGACUAAAUAUCUUGAGAACUAUAAUUUCUACUUCAAUCCUACCCAUUCAUUGAAGAUAUGUCCCCUUCAUAGCAAAAAGAGAGAAAAAUUAUUCUCUUCACAAGAAAUUAAAUGGUAUUUGAAGAUUUUACAGACCAUAAGAGAUCCCAGACUAAUGUGAUAAGAAACAAAACCAGGCAAAACAAAACAAACAAACAAAGCCACCACAAAACAAAUAAACAAACCAAAACAAAACACUCCAAAACCAAAAAAAGCAAAAACUUCUCCUCUUGCCCUCCCUAUUUUUUUUUAUUCCAGAAAGAUUGCUUGCACUUUGAAUGCUAUAUAACUGUGGGCUACUGAAAACCUAUUGGUAAAUUUUCCAUGCUUUUCAUAACAUUUUAAUGAUUUGUUUUAUUUUAGUAUUCCUUUUUUACUCUUUACUUAAACUAAUUCAUUCAUUCUUAUGACCAAAUUAAUUUUACAUCAUUAUUUUUUGCUUGUUAAAGUGAUUGAUUUUAUUUGCCAUACAUUCUAUAUGGAAAGUGAAAAUUGCUCCAAAAUGAAGAGAUAUUUUAUACAGGCAUUACAAUUUACUUGUACAUAUGAGAUGAAAAGAAUAAAUUAAAGGCCCUUUGUAACUGUCA